UUGUGUAUGUGUGUGUGUGCUAUGUAGUUAUUGUUACAGAGAUGCGGACCUACCACACAGAGUCAUCUGGUUAGUAACAUCUCGCCUUCUGACAAUCCCUGAUAGUACUCGUAGUUACUAAUUUAAUUGCUACACUUAACUGUGUACUUGUUAGCUGCGCAGAGAUUUAUAACUGUUAUUGUAAUGUUAAAUUUAAUCAGAAUUGAUGACUAGUUAUAAAAGCACUGUUCCAAUCUAUAUAUUAAUACGUGAAGCAAAAACUUUGUAUCCCUUUUUACGAAAAUUGCGCGGUCGGAGGAGUAUGACAUUUUCCACACUUAUAGAGAAUAUAGAGAAGAAGGGCACAACGCUAAUAUUUUUUUAAAAUAAUGCAUAAAAGAUACAUUAAAUCAAUAAGGAAAACACUACACACACUACAUACCAUGUAUUUGACGCACACACGCAUGCAUAGGGUAAAACCCCCAGAAGUCAGCCCCGCACCAGUACUCAGCCUUUAUAGGUUUUAUUUUGGUAUAAAUAGUGUUGAAAUGGACUUACACCAUUGAAAUAACGUUUAAUCAAAUCUAUGUUCUCUUGUUGGUUACUGUGCACAUCUAAGAACCGAUAGCGUGGCAGGUUGAUCCUCUGUACUCGUUCAUUUCCACUGCCGCCAACGAAAGGACAGGAUGUGUCACUUUUGCUAUUUUUUUCGUAAGGAAACGUGUUCGAGGUUUUGAGUUUCAUAAUGUCGAAACGACCAGUACAAAGAAGAGCAGUUCUCAUAGGCUAUGGCCGCGAUCAGAAACGGGAUGAAGAUUAGAGAAGCUAGUCGAGUUUUUAGCGUACCACUCUACAAGAUCGCCUGCAUUUAAGAGUCCCAGAAGCACCUCGUAAAAUGGUACCAGACUUCGUACUUACCAAAGACGAAGAAACUGCCUUGAAAGACUGGUGCAUUGCUUUGGCAGAAUGUGGCUUCCCUUUAAAUGUGAUGAUCCUUUAUACCGUCCAUAAUAUUAUUUCCCAAGAAAACAGACCUAACCCAUUUGUAAAUAAUAGGCCAGGGAAGAAAUGGAACUCAUUUCUUAAACGAAAUCCGGAGUUAAGAGAAUCAAAACCGCUAUCGAUGUUUUAAACAGAGCAAAGAAUAUGGUCGGUACUGAAAGCCUAAAUUCUACAGUAAAUUCAAUUAGCCAGGCCAUCCAAAUCGAUACCUCAAGUUCUAUUGAUUCUAAAAAUAGCGUCAGAAUCAGUUGAAAUCUUCAUGUUAGUUUGCCAAUUAUAGGGGAUUGCACAUUGGACAAUAAUUUCAUUAAUUUAACCGAAAGUGAAGUACCCUUAAAUGACUUCGAAUUCAUAACAGACUUUGAAGUCUUGCAACAAAAUCAUGAAGUCCAGGAAACAGGAGCAUCUGAAUUUAAUACGCAAGAAGAUAUAAACUGCGUCGAAGCAUGUUCAUGAACAGAAAAAGAACGAAAUAUUGAUUAAAAAGCAGAAAAGAAUGAAAGCUAAAAAAAGACUGAAGAAGAAAGACAAAAGAAGGAAGAAUAAUUACAAAAAAGGAAAGCUCAAAAGUUUUUGAUGUCCAAAAAAGUAUAAGUAAGAAGAAAAGUACGACAUGCACAGUAAACAGAAUAAGAUGCGAUUCGUGUGAAGAGGAAUUGACUAAUGACACAGAUAUAAACGACUUAAAAAACAUUGGUUGUGACAAUUGUCCUGCGUGGUAUCAUUUAAAAUGUACUAUAUUUGCAGGUGAAGACUAUGAAAAUGUCUAUAAUAAAGAAUUUGUAUGUCCAACGUGCAAUAAUAAGUAAAAGGCUGACUAUAGGGUAAGACAUGGCUGACUUGUGGAGAAAUGAGGCUGACUACCGGUAAAAAGUGCCAUAUUUUGUUUAAUAUUGAUUUUUUAUAUAAUUCUAACAAAAUUUAAAAAAAAAUUGUAUCUCUUUAGUAAAAAUAAUAAACGAACAUUCUGUAAAAAAAA